rnacentral:rRNA from 1 species
AACUGUAUGAGCUAGCUCUCUACAACUCUCACAUGGUCGCCCACUGAAGCUAAGCAGGGCUGCGCCUGGUCAGUACCUAGAUGGGAGACCACAUAGGAAAGCUAGGUUGCUACUGGUU